GGUAACGUAGUGUUGUGGCAAACAUGACAGCUCAGAUAUCAGCUCGGACCUCGGCUCAGUUUGCUUUCAUAAAAUGUGACUGUGUUCUGCAUAUGGACAGAUGCAAAUUCUACAUCUAAACAGUACAACAUCUGGGGGCCUGACUGUUUUGGGAAAAAGGUUGAGCUCAUAGGACCGCAGUGUUUCUUCAGCAAGCUGGUGAGCGACUGGUCUCAUUAUCACUGUCUAAGCAGCACGUGCCUGGGACUUAUCACCUAAAAGCUAGGAAACAUGAGCUGUCAGCAGACCAUAGCACAGGAGAGCUCUGCUGGAAUGCUGCUAAGCUGCAGAUGUACCAGCCAAAUUACUCCAGAGGGGAAUUACCAGGCCAUAAAUCCAGACGUCAGGAGGAAGGCUGUAGCCUAUUUCACGAUGCUACGCUCAGUCUACCCAGAAGAUUAAGAUCUGUUCAGUUAACCAGGAGCAGACCUAGGUCUAACCCACGGCUUCACCCUGUGCGGGAUAUGACACGGACACAGCAAUCUCAUAUCUUUCAUAGGCCUCGCUGAGGUGUUUGGUAAUCACAUAUCAUUUACCACAACACAAUUGUGUCUUUUUCUAGUAAGUAAUAAUUUCUGAACAUCUGAGAACAUUAGUUUUUAUUGCCAAUGUUGUAAUUUAGAAGAUAAAGAAAAAGCACGGUGGCAAUUAGACUAAAUAAAUAUGACUUCCAUAACUGGAUAUGCUUGCUGAAAGAAUGCUAAAAUUGUAAAUAAAAUAAAAAAAUAAAAAAAAUAGCACUGCAGCAAAAUGGCACCUUGUGUUUUUUUUGUUUUUUCACCCAUAACACUGAAAUCAAAAUAGAAACAAGAAGACCUUAUGAAAGUUGCUUGGUGCUUAAUUUACUAUGAGAUUAGAAAUUGAGAUCAAUUAUGUAGCAAAUUUCUGCUUUACUACUUGUGUCAGCCUCAUAGCAACUUUAGACAUGAAAACAAAAACUUAUGGGACCAAAUGACAGAAAGAAUUUACUACCAUAAGAAGAAAGCCAAGAAUGAUGCCACAAUUAGUGUUAUUGUUAUAUCAUAUUUAUUUAAUAGAAAUAUACAGAAACUUACAGAUACAGGAUGAGACGGUUGACUCUUCUGUCAACGGGAAAUGUCAAACAUCAUCAACGUUUACAACACUUGAAAGAAAAUAGUUUAUGUUAAGCUACGUCUGUUAUGUAUUGAGCAGUAAAAGAUAAAAGGAUGGACAAAUUCUGUCAUCAUUAAUAUUGUGAGCUUAUAAUAUAACAUAUAAACUCACAAUUAAAGAAAACAUGGACAAUAAUUCAGCACUGGACUGGACAGAACGUCUGUAUCUGUUUAUAAUCAACACCACUUUCAGAGCUUCAGAGCAAGUGCAGCUGUGGGAGAGAGGAUGGUGGCUCAUGUGCUGCACAAGUGAUUUAGGAGACAGCAAGGGGGUUUAGAGAAGGAAAACAAGUUCAUUACACUUCCAUACUUGCAUAUCACUCCCCAAAGACCUGUCAAUGAAGACAGUGGAGAAAUGAGCGGGCCUCAUCCUCUCCUCAAAAAGUUAUUAGAAGAAGCCCUAGGGUAAACAUGUCAUUAACAAAUCUUACCCCGAGACCCUUGACCUCAAACUCUCUGGGGUCACUACUUCAUUUCAAACAGUUUGUAUUACUCUGGUGCUCACCAAGCACAAGUUUCAUGCUUUCUCCCAAAUAGCAUA